rnacentral:misc_RNA from 1 species
UUAAUGGCAACUUGGCAAGCAUCCAAAGAUCAAGCACAACAAUGGUAAUACGAGGAUCUAAGAAAUCAAAAUAUCUAUUAACCCUUUCGAGAGAACAGGCAACAAGUAAAAAACCGGACAAAGUGAGAUAAGCGACAAAUAUAAUAGUAAUUCCUUUGGAAUUUCAAUUACAUCACAUGCAGAGAGAAAGAAACAUUCACAGUUGCUGCUUUGCCUUCUUCCGUGCCAAAAAACGUUCUUUAGCUGCAGCAAGUGCAUCCUCAUUUCGCUUAUGAUGGUCUUGCUUUGGUUGAUUAGCCGAUGGUUGUUCAGAUGAAGAUUUUUCUUGUACCAAUGUGUCCGAAACUUGUUCAUCAGGAACUGGUUUAAGAUCUAAGGACUCGGAAUUUCUCCUAGGAGGAACAGAAGGAUGCCUCUCUUUCACCGUGGAGCUAGAAGACUCCAUAUCCAUAACUGACUUUGAGUCUUGUGAAGGAUGAACUCUUUCAGAUGUACCAGCUGACACCUUAUCAUCUAAUUUCUCUGGCUUCCUGAGGUCAGUCUGUUUCUCUUGCUUCCUUGACUCUCUGUCUUUCGCACCAUAUGCAACAUUUUUUCCAAGAUUGAAGUAGAACUCGCUCAAAUCACUUUUUUUAGUAACCUUUUCAACAAAAUAACAGAAAUACAACAUUACUAACUGUGCACCUAAUUUUUCUUAUCAACAAAGACAAACACAUGCUCUAUCAGACAAGUUCAGAACAAUAUGGUUAGCAGAAAAUCAUUAUCUACAAAUACCUUUCAUUUGAUUGAUUUUAAAGACAUGCUCUAUCAAAACAAGUUUUAAAGAAUAUGGUCAGCAGAAAAUCAUUAUCUAUACAUGCAUUUCAUUUGAUUAAAUUUAAAGCACAUCAAGGUGAAGUACAGAGAGGAAACUUAAGAAAUGAUUUGCUGGCCAACUAAAUUCUACAAUGCUAUGAUUUGCUCACAUCCUUUUCUCAAUUACUAAGCUCAAACUUGCUAGUAUAUUGACCAAAAUUUAAUAACCUAAAGUUGUUUCACGAUCAAGGGUGAGGGUGUUAGAACUUAGAAGACCCAACUUUUUCAUUAAUAAACUAAAAUAAUUAACUGUGACCUACAUAUGUUCAUUGAGAAGUUGCUUCCAUUUCAAUAGGAACCUAAAGGACAAGGGGAAGUGCUACUCGUACAAGACUUCACAGAUCUUCACAAUGUUUGGGUCAAGAUCACGAAUUUAGGAAGAACACAAAGCUAAAACUUUACCUGCACAUUUUAUAAAUGAAAAUUUAGGGAUAAUAGGUGAUCAAGUAGACUGAAUUGAACAUGUAGCUCAACUUUUGGAUAUUAAACUAAGUCAAAUAUACGAUGAUAAACUGUUUAAGCCAAAAGAAAAUCCAUGAAAAUUUAACAAACGAUUUUCAGAAACAUACACAUAGAAAAAAUAAAUGACAAUAAAAAAAUAAAAUGACCAAGUUGAAAUAUUAGAAUCAGUGAAUCAUAAAAAUAGUUUAUAGCAAUACCACUUGAUACAUCUUAUCAUACUUUCAUUACAUAUGUUAAAAGAAUUUUAUUUUUUUAAAAAAGGUACAGAAAAAAAAAA